AAUAUUUCACAAUGGGGGAAACGCUGAUGCAGCAACGCCGCGUGAGCGAUGAAGGCAUUCGGGUCGUGAAGCUCUGUCCUAAGGGAAGAUAAUGACGGUACCUUAAGAGGAAGCCCCGGCUCACUACGUGCCAGCAGCCGCGGUAAUACGUAGGGGGCGAGCGUUAUCCGGAAUUAUUGGGCGUAAAGGGUUCGUAGGCGGCCUUUUGAGUCAGAUGUGAAAGGCUACGGCUUAACCGUAGUUAGCAUUUGAAACUAAAAGGCUUGAGUGCAGGAGAGGAGAGUGGAAUUCCUAGUGUAGCGGUGAAAUGCGUAGAUAUUAGGAGGAACACCAGUGGCGAAGGCGACUCUCUGGACUGCAACUGACGCUGAGGCACGAAAGCGUGGGGAGCGAACAG
rnacentral:rRNA from 1 species